GGGAGCUUAGAUGUGGAAGCUCUUUGGAAACCAAGAAACACUCUGAAAAUGAAAAGGAUACCAACUUCAUCUCUCUUUAAGAAUACAAUAUUAGUUUAAAAGAUUGUUCAACUUAAAGCAAUCUUGUAGAGAUUGUCACCCAUGAUUGAUGCUGGCAUAAGAAUGUUUAUCACAGCAUGGCAUAUAUUGGAAGUUUAGUAAAUGAAGAUACAUCCAAUCUGACAUUCUAUUCACAACCACAAAGAGAUAAUGUAGAAACAUAUUUAGUAAUGUGAGAAAAUACUAAAUAUUAAGUGAAAAAGGGUCUUUUAUUAUGUCUUCCUUGAAGUGCUCUGAUCAGAUCUGCAAUACUGGAGAUGUAAAUUCAACUCUACUUUUUUUUUCUUUUAAAAAGAAGAGCAACAUAAUCCUUAGUGAUCCUAAAUAUUAUUCAACUUAUCUUAACAUUCAAUUUCUUUAUAUAGCAAAGGAAUGCAUUUUUAGCAAUGAAAUAAACAGCAAAC
rnacentral:lncRNA from 10 species